UACGUAGGGGGCUAGCGUUGUCCGGAAUCAUUGGGCGUAAAGCGCGUGUAGGCGGCCCGGUAAGUCCGCUGUGAAAGUCGGGGGCUCAACCCUCGGAUGCCGGUGGAUACUGUCGGGCUAGAGUACGGAAGAGGCGAGUGGAAUUCCUGGUGUAGCGGUGAAAUGCGCGGAUAUCAGGAGGAACACCAAUUGCGAAGGCAGCUCGCUGGGACGUUACUGACGCUGAGACGCGAAAGCGUGGGGAGCAAACAGG
rnacentral:rRNA from 1 species